rnacentral:hammerhead_ribozyme from 1 species
AUCCAUUUGAUGAGUCCCAAAUAGGACGAAAUGCGCGUCCUGGAU